GCCCGUCAAGCCAUGGGAGCCGAGGGUACCUGAAGAUGGUGACUUUACGGGGAGCUAUCUAAGGUAAAAUCGGUGACUGGGGCUAAGUCGUAACAAGGUAGCCGUACCGGAAGGUGCGGCUGGAAUACCUCCUUU
rnacentral:rRNA from 1 species